UACUAAGUAAUGUUUCUUCUUUGCUAUAGGUAAAACUUUAGUCAAGAGGCUGACAAAAAAGGAUAUUGAGGAUGUACUGGCAGCAAUCCAAACAACUCAUUGUGGAUCAACCUUUUUUAGAGACCUUGGCGAUAAAGGGUUAAUUUCAUACACUGAGUAUCUUUUCUUGCUUACAAUCCUCACUAAACCCCAUACCGGGUUUCAUGUUGCUUUCAAAAUGCUGGAUGCAGAUGGUAAUGAGAUGGUUGAGAAAAAGGAAUUUUUUAAGGUAAAACUUUGGUCACAAAACGGGUACCUAGUACAUUGCUAUCAUGAAUCCAUGUCAUGUA